rnacentral:rRNA from 1 species
CAAUCCUGGUGGCGAGUGGCGAACGGGUGAGUAAUACAUCGGAACGUGCCCAGUAGUGGGGGAUAACCCGGCGAAAGCCGGACUAAUACCGCAUACGACCUACGGGUGAAAGCGGGGGAUCGCAAGACCUCGCGCUAUUGGAGCGGCCGAUGUCAGAUUAGCUAGUUGGUGGGGUAAAGGCCUACCAAGGCGACGAUCUGUAGCUGGUCUGAGAGGACGACCAGCCACACUGGGACUGAGACACGGCCCAGACUCCUACGGGAGGCAGCAGUGGGGAAUUUUGGACAAUGGGCGCAAGCCUGAUCCAGCCAUGCCGCGUGCGGGAAGAAGGCCUUCGGGUUGUAAACCGCUUUUGUCAGGGAAGAAACGCUCCGGGCCAAUACCUCGGAGUAAUGACGGUACCUGAAGAAUAAGCACCGGCUAACUACGUGCCAGCAGCCGCGGUAAUACGUAGGGUGCAAGCGUUAAUCGGAAUUACUGGGCGUAAAGCGUGCGCAGGCGGCUUUGCAAGACAGAUGUGAAAUCCCCGGGCUUAACCUGGGAACUGCAUUUGUGACUGCAUGGCUAGAGUGCGGCAGAGGGGGAUGGAAUUCCGCGUGUAGCAGUGAAAUGCGUAGAUAUGCGGAGGAACACCGAUGGCGAAGGCAAUCCCCUGGGCCUGCACUGACGCUCAUGCACGAAAGCGUGGGGA